rnacentral:rRNA from 1 species
ACUCCUACGGGAGGCAGCAGUAGGGAAUCUUCCACAAUGGGCGCAAGCCUGAUGGAGCAACACCGCGUGAGUGAAGAAGGGUUUCGGCUCGUAAAGCUCUGUUGUUAAAGAAGAACACGUAUGAGAGUAACUGUUCGUACGUUGACGGUAUUUAACCAGAAAGUCACGGCUAACUACGUGCCAGCAGCCGCGGUAAUACGUAGGUGGCAAGCGUUAUCCGGAUUUAUUGGGGCGUAAAGAGAGUGCAGGCGGUUUUCUAAGUCUGAUGUGAAAGCCUUCGGCUUAACCGGAGAAGUGCAUCGGAAACUGGAUAACUUGAGUGCAGAAGAGGGUAGUGGAACUCCAUGUGUAGCGGUGGAAUGCGUAGAUAUAUGGAAGAACACCAGUGGCGAAGGCGGCUACCUGGUCUGCAACUGACGCUGAGACUCGAAAGCAUGGGUAGCGAACAGGAUUAGAUACCCUGGUAGGAUAGCG